rnacentral:tRNA from 1 species
AGUUAAUUACCUAAUUAUAGGGGUUCCAUUUUGAAAAUGGAAUAAAGAAAAUAAAAUAUUCUAUUAGCUU